GGGUACGAACAUACCAGCACUAAUACAUCGGAUCCCAUCAGAACUCCGCAGUUAAGUGUGCUUGGGCGAGAGUAGUACUGGGAUGGGUGACCUCCUGGGAAGUCCACGUGUUGCACCCC
rnacentral:rRNA from 1 species